rnacentral:rRNA from 1 species
UAGGGAAUCUUCCGCAAUGGGCGAAAGCCUGACGGAGCAACGCCGCGUGAGUGAUGAAGGUCUUCGGAUCGUAAAACUCUGUUAUUAUGGAAGAACAAAUGUGUAAGUAACUAUGCACGUCUUUACGGUACCUAAUCAGAAAGCCACGGCUAACUACGUUCCAGCAGCCUCGGUAAUACGUAUGUGGCAAGCGUUAUCCGGAAUUAUUGGGCGUAAAGCGCGCGUAGUCGGUUUUUUAAGUCUGAUGUGAAAGACCACGGCUCAACCGUGGAGGGUCAUUGGAAACUGGAAAACUUGAGUGCAGAAGAGGAAAGUGGAAUUAAAUGUGUAGCGGUGAAAUGCGAAGAGAUAUGGAGGAACAACAGUGGCGAAGGCGACUUUCUGGUCUGUAACUGACGCUGAUGUGCGAAAGCGUGGGGAUCAAACAGG